GUGGGGAAUCUUCCGCAAUGGACGAAAGUCUGACGGAGCAACGCCGCGUGAGUGAUGAAGGUCUUCGGAUUGUAAAGCUCUGUUAAUCGGGACGAAAGAGCCUAGUGUGAAUAAUGCUAGGAAGUGACGGUACCGGAAUAGAAAGCCACGGCUAACUACGUGCCAGCAGCCGCGGUAAUACGUAGGUGGCAAGCGUUGUCCGGAAUUAUUGGGCGUAAAGCGCGCGCAGGCGGAUCUGCCAGUCUGUCUUAAAAGUUCGGGGCUUAACCCCGUGAUGGGAUGGAAACGUCAGAUCUAGAGUAUCGGAGAGGAAAGUGGAAUUCCUAGUGUAGCGGUGAAAUGCGUAGAUAUUAGGAAGAACACCAGUGGCGAAGGCGACUUUCUGGACGAAAACUGACGCUGAGGCGCGAAAGCCAGGGGAGCGAACGGGAUUAGAAACCCUUGUAGUCC
rnacentral:rRNA from 1 species